ACACAGGGUCUCACUCUGUUGCAGGUGCUGGAGUGCAAGUGGCAUGAUUUUGGCUAACUGCAACCUUGACCUCCCAGGCUCAAGGAAUUCUCCCACUUCACCCUCCGGAGUAACUGGGACUACAGGCACAGACUGAGGAAUUGCGCUUGGCCUAAUAAGAAUGAUUCCCCUGGGGGAAAGAAACAGAAGAGCAUUUGACAACUACAUGGGCUGGCAUAAUGGAUUGGAAUUUAAAGGUGCUACAAAUGUGCCACCAGUUUAUCACAUGGGACAUUUUCUCACCGAGUGAAGCAGGAAGCUGGUGGGCCUAGGCCAGGAAGGCAGAGUGAAAUUUCAUGACGCUUAGAAGACAAAGAGCCUUGCUAAAAUUAAGUGAAUGGUCCUGCAACAAAUACACAACAGGUCUCCCUUCUUAAGAAAUCCACCAGAUUGUGAAACUGCAUGGGGAGAGAAGCACGAAAGGAUUAAGUUUAAAACUCCAAAGCACAGAAAAAUGCUGAGGAGACAGGGACUCACGAGGCUUUCAAUCAGAAGCCUGAAAUGGUCACACUUGAGCAUGUUGCUGGCUGGAAAGGCAGAGUAAAAUGUCUUGUGAUUUCAUGGUGUUCAAAUCUCUGAAGGACAGAUGACUCUCCAUUGGUAUUUCAGGCUUUCCCUACAGUAGGCAAGUACUUUGGACCUACCAGUCUUUCAACAAAAAGCUCAGAAGGGUCACCUCUAAGGAACAGGUAUAAAUCAGAGGUGAACUAAGUUUCAUUAAAACUAU
rnacentral:lncRNA from 1 species